UGUACUGAUUGAGAUUUUAACACGAAGUGAGUGGCGAACGGGUGAGUAACACGUGGGUAACCUGCCCAGAAGUAGGGGAUAACACCUGGAAACAGAUGCUAAUACCGUAUAACAGAGAAAACCGCAUGGUUUUCUUUUAAAAGAUGGCUCUGCUAUCACUUCUGGAUGGACCCGCGGCGUAUUAGCUAGUUGGUGAGGUAAAGGCUCACCAAGGCAGUGAUACGUAGCCGACCUGAGAGGGUAAUCGGCCACAUUGGGACUGAGACACGGCCCAGACUCCUACGGGAGGCAGCAGUAGGGAAUCUUCCACAAUGGACGCAAGUCUGAUGGAGCAACGCCGCGUGAGUGAAGAAGGGUUUCGGCUCGUAAAGCUCUGUUGUUAAAGAAGAACGUGGGUAAGAGUAACUGUUUACCCAGUGACGGUAUUUAACCAGAAAGCCACGGCUAACUACGUGCCAGCAGCCGCGGUAAUACGUAGGUGGCAAGCGUUAUCCGGAUUUAUUGGGCGUAAAGCGAGCGCAGGCGGUCUUUUAAGUCUAAUGUGAAAGCCUUCGG
rnacentral:rRNA from 1 species